CUAUUAUUGUGAUAAGAUAAUCAGAUAGAUCAAUUUUCCAAAACUUGAGUUUUGUUUUGUUUUUUAUAAGAACAAUGCCUUGUAAUAAGUUGUCCUCUAUUCAAGUAGAGACUUUAUUGUAUUAGAGGGGUAUGCCGUAUGCCCCUUGAUAUUGUAUUGUUGUAUCUUGUUAAUUAGUAAAAAAAAAAUUAUCAUCAAAUGAUCAAAUAUGCCGUUGCAUCAAACUUGAGCUUAGCAUGUAGUUGAUUAAUUUGCAAGACAUCCAUCUUUUAACAACAUAAAUUAAGAACAAAGCUAGCAUUGACAUGUAUUGGGUGGGGGGUUGGUUUUUUCAAGAAAAAACCUAUUCUUAUUUUGAGGUCACAGGUGAUUCAGUUGUAAUUGGUAAACACAUUGGACUUUUGUGGGAAUGUAUUGAACCGGUUGUCAUUUAUCUAGAUAUGUUAAAAUUUGGUAGUGAAGUUAUAAUUAUGAAUCAGUACUUUUGUAGAUAAAUUGUUAUUACUGUGUCAUUGAAUUGCUUGCUUUUGUGUUUAGGUAGUCUUACUUGGCUCCAAAGGUUAAAGUAGCUCUUGGAUUUGCUCGUGUGGUUGAAUUUCUUCAUGAUCCAAAAAAGCCUUAUUUAGUGCGCAACAUUAACACAGCUCAUAUAAUUCUUGAUCAAGAUUGCAACCCAAAGAUAUUUGACUUUUCAACCAUGAGUGGAGGGAUUCUAGGCAAGCUGACUCACAUCAAAAACCGCUUGUUGAAUUUAGGCUAUGAUGAUCCAGAAGACUAUCCCUUAGGUAUUGAGGCUUGAAGUUACUUAUGUGUUUUCAAUUCAAUGCAUGCUUUUAGAUUUGUGCGUCUAAUAUUAGUAUUCUAUUCUCUUUCUUUUCUUCUCUCUUAAUUUUUAAGCCGUAGAGGUUGGACAACUUCAUUAUGGACCAGGCUGUACACAACGUUAAGCAUUCAUCAUGUUUUGAUGAGCUAUAACAGCAUUAUGAUAAGAGACUUCAACGGCUUACACUAAUCGAUUUACCUUGAAAAACUGUGUUUUUUGAGUAUUUCUUACUGCAAAUUGAUUAUUGUGCUUGUCGGGUGGACCGGAGGAAGGUGGGUUUGAGGUAACCUACCAUGAUGUCUCCUCUUUUGGUGUUGUUCUCAUGGGGCUAAUAGCAAAAAGAAUUGUGGAUGAGAAAGAUACUUGGAAGACUUUCAUUUACCGUUGGGCUUGGAAGCAGUAUAGGCCUAAUCGUUCUCUAGUGCAUGAAAGCCUUGUUGAAGACCCCGGCUAUUAUGCUUCUGAUGGAAUAAUGAUAGCUGAGCUUGCCAUGGGCUGCAUUCAAAUGGAACUUGAUAAGCGUCCUUCCAUGAAGGAUGUUGUCAAGUGUCUGGAGGGUUCACAAGUUGUUCAACUUUAUGGCAAUGUAGUUGGAAUGUGAAAUAUGGGGGAGAUCAACUUGCUCGUAAGUCAAGGCUAGGCUUUGGGUUAAAGUAGAGUAUUCUUGUCCUCUACCAAGGAUGUGGACAUGCUUGCUCUUCAGGAUUUUCAAGAGAUGUAACAUUCCAAUGGUAAAUGCAUGCUUUUGCAUUAAAAUAACCCUUUAUGCUCUUGUAGAGUUCCCAACUGGCCUGGCAUUGCCCAUUGAGAAGAAAAGCAGGCAAAUGGAGAUAUCACUCUACUGCUUUGCACUGGCUAUUGAGAGCUUCUUCUCAUGUCUUGCUGAAGAUUGAUAUCUACCACAAUCGGAGAACUUUAAGAGAUCUGAUGUGGUGGUUGUCAGCUUAUCAACAACCAUCAUAAUGCUCUACUAUGCCUAUGCCCAGGAAAGGAAAGUGUUUGGAUCCAAGUACUUGAAUGUUCUUGGUUGGAUACACUGCAAAAAUAGCUAGAAGCUAGUUUUGCUUUUAAUUAUCGAGGAGAGGUUUAGAUGUUUAUUGCUUAAACUUCUCUCUAAGUGAUUGCCAGGAAGUUGUAUUAUGUACCAUUACCAUAAUUCUUGUAGCAUAGUUUCUACUACUGAUGUAGGGUUAAUAUAUUCCUUGUUCAUUAGUAACUUUUCAUGCUUAAAAGAGAAAUCAGAACCACAUUUUUUUC